GUAAGACCGCUCUGGUGGCUUAAAUGGUAGAGCGUUCGACUUCGAUGCGGGAGGUCGCGGGCUCGAACACCGCACGAGUCUUACA